rnacentral:rRNA from 1 species
GACAGAGGCCUCAAGCGUUAGGCGGAAUCACUGGGCUUAAAGCGUGUGUAGGCGGAUCGUUAAGUGUCUUGUGAAAUCCCUCGGCUUAACCGGGGAACUGCGUCUGAUACUGGAUGGCUUGAGUUUGGGAGAGGGAUGCGGAAUUCCAGGUGUAGCGGUGAAAUGCGUAGAUAUCUGGAGGAACACCGGUGGCGAAGGCGGCAUCCUGGACCAUGACUGACGCUGAGGAGCGAAAGCCAGGGGAGCAAACGGG